UACGUAGGGUGCAAGCGUUGUCCGGAAUUAUUGGGCGUAAAGAGCUCGUAGGCGGUCUGUCGCGUCGGCUGUGAAAACCCGGGGCUCAACCCCGGGCCUGCAGUCGAUACGGGCAGACUAGAGUGUGGUAGGGGAGACUGGAAUUCCUGGUGUAGCGGUGGAAUGCGCAGAUAUCAGGAGGAACACCGGUGGCGAAGGCGGGGUCUCUGGGCCGAUACUGACGCUGAGGAGCGAAAGCGUGGGGGAGCGAACAGG
rnacentral:rRNA from 1 species